AUGCCCCGGAGCUCGCGCCACAGGUCGUCGCACCGGUCGCACAGGCGGGGCGGCUCGGCGGAGCGGUCGGAGUCUGAGGGCGAGGAUGCUGGCGCCCCUGGCCCGCGGGAGGAGGCCCCGCCCGUGGCUAGGGUUCCGCGAGAUCCCGAGCCAGAGAGGCGCAGAUCGUCAUCGGCCAAGGAGCUGGUGAGCUCGGGGAACGGCUACUCGGAGCACGGGAAGAAGAGGAAGGAUAGGGUUGAGGAGACGGUGGUGGAUGUGGUCAGCGACAGGUGGAACAGCGGCGUGUGUGAGGAUCACUUGGUCGAGAAGAGGUCUAAGAGUGAGGUGUUUGGGCCCGUCGAUGUGGAGAAGCUGGCGGAGAAGCCCAAGGCUUCAGGGGAUGAGCCCAAGAGGUCAAGCAGACGGACGGCGGGAUCGGAUGAGAGGGUUGAGGAGGUUGUGUCCAAGAGUGAUUCCGGGAAGCGGCGGUCGGAGAAGGAGAAGGAGAAGGACCCAGGGAGGAGGGAGAGUAGUGGGCAGCAUAAGGAUGACAGAGAUAGGGAUAGGGAGAGAGAUAGAGAAAAGGAGAGGGAAAGGGAGAAAGAAUGGGAGAGACUGAAGGAGAGAGAGAGGGAAAGGGGCCGGGACAGAGAGAGGGAGAAGGAGAAGGAAAGAGAACGGGAGAAGGAGAAGGAGAGAGAACGGGAGAGGGAGCGGGAUAAAGAGCGUGACAGGGAACGAGAGCGGGAGCGUGACAGGGAACGGGAGCGUGAGAGGCAAAAGGAUAGGGAGAGGGACAAGAAAGACUACGAUUCCAAGAAUGAGAAGUAUGAAGAUGGCAGUGCCAGGAAGAAUGGCUCGAAGACUAGUAGAGGGGAGGAUGAGGGUUACUCAUACAAGAGACACGUAGAGAUCAAUGAUACUCCAGCUAAAGAGAGACACAGUAACCCCGAUAGGGAUAGGGAUAGGGAGACUGAUAAACACAGCCGACGAAAAGACGACUCGGAAGACAAAGAUAAGUGGCCAAUUGACAAUAGAGACAGUGAUGACAGGAAGACUCUGUCCAGGUAUGAUCAUGGGAAGGUUAGGAGCUCUAAGGAACAAAGGUUUGAUGAUGAGAAGUAUAAACAGAAGUACAAGGAUGAUUAUGAAAGGGAUAAGAGACAGCAAGAUGACAAGUGUCUGGAUGAGCGCAUGAUCCGAGAUCAUGGAAGUGACAGGGUUGAUUACAAGAGCACAAAAGAUGGGCACCGAAUUUCAGAGGGCCAUUACAGAAAAGAUAUAGUUCAAGACGGUGAUCGUUAUGAUGAGUAUGGCAGUAGGUACAAGGAAAAUAGAGGUAGAAAAAGACUUCCUGAGGAAAAUGAUGACCAUUAUGAUCUGAAAACUCCAAGCGCACGGGAGCAACGUGGAAAUUUGGAAAAAUCUUCAGGCAGUGGGCGACUCGAUUCUCUGAUUGAGAGAGCAAGGUCUGAACAUAGACAUCAAGAAAAUGUUGAUUCUAGUCCGAGUAAAGUCCAUGCAAGAACUUCGCCUGGCUCAAAUCCUCAUCAUGAAAAAGAUCAAAGCUGGCAUGGAUCUAAACUGGCAGAUAAUACAAAGAGAGAGAUACAAUAUGAUGAAAGAAGUAUUCGACCAAGGACAUCCUCAGGGAGAGAACGGACACCUGCUUCUAGACUGCGUGACAGGGAUACUGACAAUUGGUCUUCGGAAAGGCUCAAACAGAAGGAUGAUCUCCAGUCACGUGACAUACCAUUGGAAAUUUCUACAUCGUCACAAUAUGAUCGAACACCAAGGAAAGAUAUGCAUCCUUCACCAAAACAGCUAUCUGAUAAAUCCCCAUCUUCAAACGACCAAAGGUUUUCAGGUAGGCUUAGCGGUGGCCGUAGUCUUGAUAACAAAGGGGAAAGGAGCAACCUGACUAAAUAUAGAGAUCGGGAUGGUGAUUUAUCCUUAGAACGGUCACUUCAUCAAGAUCGAACACCAUCUAAAAUUCCAUACAGAGAAUCAACACCCUCUGCAUCAUCCAUAAGCAGAGGUGGGCAUUUUUCAGGCACUUCUCCAAAUCGUCUACUGCUGCCACCUGCGAGGCACAGAGAUGAUUCUUCCUUCUUGGGUUCACAUGAUGAUGACCGUAGACCGCAAAGUGGAGAUAGGAGGUUCCAUGCCCAUCAGAAGAGGAAUGAUAUGAAUUCUGGACGCGGCCAUGGGCAUGCCUGGAAUAAUGCACCGAGCUGGCCAUCUCAAGUUGCAAAUGGUUUUGUCCCCAUGCAGCAUGGUGCUCCUGGAUUUCACCCACCUGUACAUCAGUUUCACCCCCCACCUAUGUUUAACCUUAGGCCCCAAAUGAAGUUGAGCCAAACUGGAGUUUCAUAUCCUAUGCAUGACACCGUUGACAGGUUUUCGCCCCACAUUCGCCCAUUUGGGUGGCCUAAUCCGCUCGAUGAAUCAUGCCCCCCUCACCUACAAGUUUGGAAUGGGGGCACUGGUGUAUUUGGUGGUGAACCUUAUAUGUAUGGCAGGCAAGAAUGGGAUCAGAACAAGCUGCAUGUCGGCAGCAGAGGGUGGGAGGCAACUGGUGAUGCAUUGAAGGGACAAAAUGAAUUGGCUGACACUGAAUUUCCUGUUGCUAAAAAGGAGCUUGACUCUUUAGCAACCCCUGUUUCAGAGUCUUCAGGUGGACAAUGCAAUCUUAAUCCUUUUGAGCAGAAAGAAGCAAACCAUUUGGUUUCAGAAAAACGUGAAGCAAAGGGUGAUGUCACAAGUGCUGUAAAAAGUUCUGAUGCUCCCAGGGGAACAACACUCAUGGCCUCCAUGUUGUCAAGCAACGGUACUGCAGUAUUUUCUAGAAACUAUUUAUCGAGAGUUAGUGUGUCGCAUGAUCUUGUUGAGUCGGAGUUGUACAAAAGGUGCACAUCUCUGCUGGGAGACUUGGGCAUAGCAAAUGGUGGCCCUGAUGUUGUUUGGAAUGGCUCUAUUCAGAAGAAUGGAAAUGCUGGAAAGAUAAGUAGAGAACAGGGAAGCCCCAAUCUGUUGGGUUUAUUUUAUGUGAAGAACAACGAUGCAACUUUUCAGAGAGCUAUGGCCCUUCACAAGAAUCAGACAGAGAGAGCUGUGGCUCCUACCCAAGCGCAAACUGAUGGGAAAAUGGACUCAACACAAGAGAAUAAGGAGGACACAGAAAUGCUUGACCGUACUCCACUGAAGGAAUUGACGGUGAGUAACCCUGUCUUGCACCACCGUACUGGCAUUUUUGAAGGGCCACCUGCAACUACAGAAUCUGGUGAUGUGGAUUCACCUCCAGCAAUCACAGACUCUGGUGAUGUGAAUGCUCCUCGAGCAAUCACAGAAUCUGGCGAUGUGGAUGCACCUCCAGUAAUCACUGAAUCUGGUGACACGGAGAUGGUGGCACCUCCUGGAACCGCAGGUCCUGAUGAAGAUAUGGAGGUGGCUGCCUCUCCAUCAAUCACAGAACCUGAUAAAAACAUGGAGGAUGUGUCACCACCUGCAGUUGCCGUACCCGUGGAUGGCCCAGCAGAUGAUGCAACAGGAUUAAUCAUAGAACAUAUUGAUGGCUCGCAGGAGGUUCCUUCAGCAAAUGAAGAGCCAGGUGAUACUGUAGAGGUUGUGCCUCCAGCGUUCACAGAACAAUCUGGCCAAGUCAAGGAUGAUCCUCCUUCUGUGGCUACUCCUAACAGUGGAGAGGCUGACUCCAUGCAUGCAGCAGUUGAAAAAGAUAUGGAUGAGGUUACUGAUGACAGCCCUGGGGAUGGUGAAGUGAAUGCAUCUAACUUUGUUUCGGAGUUGGAUGUUGUUGCAAGUGGCGCUCAGGAUUGUGAAGGGUUUCUUUGA
rnacentral:rRNA from 1 species